rnacentral:lncRNA from 1 species
GUUUAAUUUCCGUAUCAGGCAGCUGUCAAUUGCAGGAGCCGAAGUGACUAUAGUUGUUAAGCAGAAAUCGGUGAUAGUUAUUUCUUUUGUAACCAGUAACGUGUUUCUGAAAAACUGUGUGCUCUCGAAAUUAACAAUGGAGCAUAUAGAUUCAGUGCAGACCAUUCAAAACCUGUAUCAUGUUGCAUCCACAGCACCAGCAAAUACAAUGCCUGGGAGCCUCGGAGGGCUCUUGGACAGGCACCUGAACAUGGCCAGAGUUAGCCUUGGGGAUGUUCAAAAUGAACAGAAACAGGGACUGCUGUUCUGACUGUCCCCUGGGGAUACAUGGGGCUGGUGACCGAUACUGGAAUGGCGAGUCUGGCUGCACCCCAGGAACCCCUGGCCUGGCCACUGGAGAAGGGCCAAAGCUGCAAGCGAUCCCCGCAUUCACUGUCCAUCACCCCGCUUACCUUUUGCAACGUUCAAGGAGCAGAAAGAUGGCCUCCACCUCACCUCUGCUUGCCUUCGCCUUUGCAAAUCUUGCAUAAGUACAUCGAAGUUGAGGAAGCAUAGUCUGACUCUCGAGUCAAGAAAAUCUGCGAAACGUGAUUCUUAGCUUCCCUGUGUCCACAGUUUAGGCUCAAACACGAGAAAGUUGCUGUGAUGGGAUUCUUUUUACCCACUGCGAUUUUAUACUCCUUUAGAUAGUUUUCUCUUUUUUAUGAUUUUCAAAGUGGAAUAUAAUUUACAUACAUUUAAGUGCAUGGUUUUGCGAGGUUUGGUAAAUGUGUAUGCUUGCAUAGUCACUGCCCCACUCAGGAUACAGAACAUUUCCAUGACCUCAGAAAGUUCUUCGUGCAAUCCGUAGGGGUGCUGUUCUGAUUUCCAGCCCUCUAACAGGUUUUGCCUCUUCUCUACCUCUGAGAAAUGGGUGUAUAUUUGCGGUAGGGAAGUCCACUAAAAUUAUUUGUACAAGAAUGUUGAUAGCAACAUUAUUCAUAAUAGCCCCAACCUGGAAACAUCCUAAAUGUCCAUAGCAGGAAAAUAAAUAAUGAAACUAUGAUACGUUUGUACA